AACAAAAAAAAAAUUAAUCUCUUUUUAAAUUACAAAACUGUCGUCAUUUUUUUAAAAACAGCGGCCCAUUCGAACAAAAAAUCAACAGAGGCCCAUACUGUUCGUUCUGAUCGACGGUGUUCGACCUCUCAGUCCUCACUCUUCUCUUCUGAAAUGGGUAACCCACACCAGUUCAUCAUCUUUUUUCACCGACUAUGCUCUAUGAAGGCUUGAAAGAUUUGAGUAUGGGAAGCAAAUUACAAAAUCCAAAUUUUCAUAUUGAUAUUUCUAUUGAGGGAGUCAUGCUUAGAGGAGUGGCUGGUGUGAACUUUAGGUACAAUGAAUGGUUGAAUGCAAUUAGUUGCGUAUGGAUGGCUGAAGAUGCACAAGGGAUGUUCAGAGGUAGCAGUCCAGCAUCAGAUCCUACUUUUAUGGUUGUGGAAUUUGUUAGAGACCAUUUCAAAGAAGGAUUAAGAACACGCAUAAAGUUGCUAGCAUGUUAGUAGAGAAGAAGAAUUGCCUCCAGAAUGGAUGCCGUGAUAAACUUCAUUGAUUUUUUUUUUUUUUUCCUAUCAUAUCUAUUUUGUUCAACUGGUUGGGGUAUUUACAUGUAUCCAAGUAAUAAUUUGGACGACAAUUUUAGUACUGUUUUCAUGUAAUAUAUAGAUAUACAUAUAAAGUUUACAGGUUUGGGACAUUUAAA